GAAAUGCGAUAAGUAAUGUGAAUUGCAGAAUUCAGUGAAUCAUCGAAUCUUUGAACGCACCUUGCGCUCCUUGGUAUUCCUUGGAGCAUGCCUGUUUGAGUAUUAUGAAAUCUUCAAAGUAAAUCUUUUGUUAACUCAAUUGGUUUCUACUUUGGUAUUGGAGGUCUUUGCAGCUUCACACCUGCUCCUCUUUGUUCAUUAGCUGGAUCUCAGUGUUAUGCUUGGUUCCACUCGGCGUGAUAAGUUAUCUAUCGCUGAGGACACUGUAAAAGGUGGCCAAGGUAAAUGCAGAUGAACCGCUUCUAAUAGUCCAUUGACUUGGACAAUACUUUUAUGAUCUGAUCUCAAAUCAGGUAGGACUACCCGCUGAACUUAAGC
rnacentral:misc_RNA from 1 species